ACUCAAAUGAAUAGACGGGGGCCCGCACAAGCAGCGGAGCAUGUGGCUUAAUUCGAUGCAACGCGAAGAACCUUACCUAGGCUUGACAUGCAGGGAAAUCUCGUAGAGAUACGGGGUCCGUAAGGGCCUUGCACAGGUGGUGCAUGGCUGUCGUCAGCUCGUGUCGUGAGAUGUUGGGUUAAGUCCCGCAACGAGCGCAACCCUCGUCCUAUGUUGCCAGCGAGUUAUGUCGGGAACUCAUGGGAGACUGCCGGGGUCAACUCGGAGGAAGGUGGGGAUGACGUCAAGUCAUCAUGCCCCUUAUGUCUAGGGCUGCACACAUGCUACAAUGGCCGGUACAAAGGGCUGCGAUACCGCAAGGUGGAGCGAAUCCCAUAAAGCCGGUCUCAGUUCGGAUUGGGGUCUGCAACUCGACCCCAUGAAGUCGGAGUUGCUAGUAAUCGCAGAUCAGCAACGCUGCGGUGAAUACGUUCCCGGGCCUUGUACACACCGCCCGU
rnacentral:rRNA from 1 species